UGCAGAGGGGGCCAGCGUUAUUCGGAAUUAUUGGGCGUAAAGGGCGCGUAGGCGGCCAUGCGUGUCUUCCGUGAAAUCCCUCGGCUUAACUGAGGACGUGCGGAAGAAACUGCAAGGCUUGAGUCCGGGAGAGGGGGGUGGAAUUCCCAGUGUAGCGGUGAAAUGCGUAGAUAUUGGCAGGAACACCGGUGGCGAAGGCGGCCCCCUGGACCGGUACUGACGCUGAGGCGCGAAAGCUAGGGGAGCAAACAGG
rnacentral:rRNA from 1 species